rnacentral:rRNA from 1 species
CUCAAAACAGCUUAUUGAGCCAACCCGUCUCUGUCGCAAAAGAGUGGGACGAUUUUCAGGUAGCGGUGAAAAGCCUACCGAGCUUAGAGAUAGCUGGUUAUUCAAGAAAAGAAUUUUAGUUCAACCCUAAGCCUCUCCAUUUACUUUGAUAACUCCGCCAGGCUUAGGAGCUAUUCAAAUAAGGUACAGCUUAUUUGACAAAGGACACAACCUACAAAAAAGGGUAAACUUUUUAAACCUAAAUAAGUGGGCCCGAAAGCAGCCACCUUUAAGAAAGCGUUAAAGCUCUAUUUCCUCACUAAAACAAAUACCUAACUGCUAAUUAAACCCUUUAAUUCUAUUGAAUGGUUCUAUAAAAAUAUAGAAACCCCAAUGCUAAAACUAGUAACAAGAAGUUGAACUUCUCCAAAAUACAAGCAUAAAUCAAAAUGGACCAGCCACUGAUAGUUAACAUUACUGACUCAAAUAUAGCAACCGAACAAGAAAACACUAUAAACCCCCAUGUUAACCUCACACUAGUGUAUUUCUGGAAAGAUUAAAAAAAAGAGAAGGAACUCGGCAAAUCUUAGCCCCGCCUGUUUACCAAAAACACCGCCUCUUGAUUUUCAUAAGAGGUCCAGCCUGCCCAGUGACUCAGUUAAACGGCCGCGGUAUCCUGACCGUGCGAAGGUAGCAUAAUCACUUGUUCUCUAAAUAAGGACUUGUAUCAACGGCAUCACGAGGGCUAUACUGUCUCCUCUUUUUAAUCAGUGAAACUGACUUCCCCGUGAAGAGGCGGGGAUAAGAAUACAAGACGAGAAGACCCCAUGGAGCUUUAAACCCAAUAACAACCUCUAUCUACUUCAACUACUAAAUUAAGAAGGCCUGUUUAUUGGUUUUAGGUUGGGGUGACCCCGGAGUAAAACUUAACCUCCAGGACGAAUGAAUCUCAUUCUAAUCCCAGAGCCACUGCUCUACGAAUCAAAAUUUUGACACAAACUGAUCCGCUUAGCGAUCAACGAACCAAGUUACCCUGGGGAUAACAGCGCAAUCCAUUUCAAGAGCCCCUAUCGACAAAUGGGUUUACGACCUCGAUGUUGGAUCAGGGUAUCCCAGUGGUGCAGCCGCUACUAAAGGUUUGUUUGUUCAACAAUUAAAACCCU